GAUGAAGAACGCAGCGAAAUGCGAUAAGUAGUGUGAAUUGCAGAAUUCAGUGAAUCAUCGAAUCUUUGAACGCACAUUGCGCCCCUUGGUAUUCCAUGGGGCAUGCCUGUUCGAGCGUCAUUUGUACCUUCAAGCUUUGCUUGGUGUUGGGUGUUUGUCUCGCCUUUGCGUGUAGACUCGCCUUAAAAUAAUUGGCAGCCGGCGUAUUGAUUUCGGAGCGCAGUACAUCUCGCGCUUUGCACUCAUAACGACAGCGUCCAAAAGUACAUUUUACACUCUUGACCUCGGAUCAGGUAGGCAUACCCGCUGAGCUUAAGCAUAUCAAUAAGCGGAGGA
rnacentral:misc_RNA from 1 species